UACGAAGGGGGGCUAGCGUUGUUCGGAAUCACUGGGCGUAAAGGGCGCGUAGGCGGCUUUGUAAGUCGGGGGGUGAAAGCCUGUGGCUCAACCACAGAAUUGCCUUCGAUACUGCAUGGCUUGAGACCGGAAGAGGUAAGUGGAACUGCGAGUGUAGAGGUGAAAUUCGUAGAUAUUCGCAAGAACACCAGUGGCGAAGGCGGCUUACUGGUCCGGUUCUGACGCUGAGGCGCGAAAGCGUGGGGGAGCAAACAGG
rnacentral:rRNA from 1 species